rnacentral:rRNA from 1 species
GGGGAUCAGCCCAGCGCAUAACCUCGCAGCCCUAGCAGGCUGUCGAGGGGUGUUGCGUUUCGGUGGACCCGUACCGCUCGAGCUGCUCACCACCUAAAUUCUGCUUAAGUGCAGUCCCACUGAGGGUGAGAGGCCCGUAUGGUGGCGCCUGUGACACGGCUUGAGGCAGCUUGGGCGGAGGGGUCUUUACCGUUGAGUCGGGUUGCUUAGUACUGCAGCCCUAAGUAGGUGGUAAACUCCAUCUAAGGCUAAAUACAACCACGAGACCGAUAGCAGACAAGUACCGUGAGGGAAAGCUGAAAAGUACUCUGAAGAGAGGGUUAAUAGGACGUGAAACCAUUAGAAGCUCUAAACGGGUGGAACCGUAAUCGGCGAAAGAGGGGAUUCAGCCGGCUGGUCUUGAGUGACUGGGUACAGUAGUAUGACUCGGCAUGAUUGUCAGUUGCCGUGGCUCUGUCCUAGUCGACCCAAGGCUAGCCAGCCGGUUUACUUCUCCCUCUAGUAGCGCUCGUCGCGAGCCGCUGGUUGGACUCUGACGCUGCAUUACCUGAUUGGUAGCCCGCCAGCCAUUAUAGCGGGCGAUGACCGGUGGUAGUGUAGGGUCUGGCCGGCGGUUUCUCAGGGGGGCUGCGUAAGUGGCCUCUCGCGAUGAGAUUCGAUGUUGGUAAUCCACCUGA